AUUGCUCAUCUUCUAGGCUGCAGGAAUUUUUCUGCAAAGCUACACCACAGAAAGAUUCUGCUGCUAGAUCUGGUCUGUUGUCUAUAACGUACAUGAUGAUAGGCUAUAACAAAAAAUUCUCAUGGGUAAGCUCAUAAACCACAAAAGUGCAUUGAAACAUUCGUCUUUGAGGAGCACUGACCACAUUCAAUUCAAUAAUUCCUCUACAAACAGCUUCUGUCUGUAGAUUCAAUUUAGUGCAGAGCUCGAUGACAACAUUUUUUAUUUUUUUCUCAUCCAUGCCAUUCCUUCGGUAACCCAUGAUGACUUUUACCAGGGAUUUGCAUACGGAGCACAUAACAUUUGCUCUUUCAUCGAUAAAACUCUCAACCUCACUGAGCCGCAGUGGAUUUGGCAAAGCUAUUUCACUGAGACGCUCUUCGAGUGUUCGGGGCUCUUCAAACUUCAUCCAUUUUUCCAUUUCAUUUGUAAUCGCUGCCAACAGAUGCUCUGACACAAAAAAAUAUGGUAUACAAACUGGAGAUAAUCAACAAUUGGCAUAUUCGGGUAUCAAAAGACUUCGUCACGUGCAUCCAACUAUCUUUGGAUCGCGUCGUUAUGGCUAGUAAACCUCUGCCAUAUCAGCGUCAUCGAUCACAAGAUCAUCGAGCAUUUCUUCCAACGUAAUUUGUGGGAUGGUCGGGUCUAUUUCGUCCGUAUCCACUGGGAUUUGCUUACUACUAUCUCGGAAUAUAUUUAUAUUCUGCCUCAUCUCUGGGUCUUCUUCUAACUCGUCCAGGAACUCGUUGUACUCACUGUAAAGAUUUUUUGAUAUAGCAUUGAAUUAACGCGUUUUGUGUACAUAUCAAAGACGUAGUUCGACCGUAACGAACCGAAUACAAUAAAAUCAGGAAAAAAAAACCUACUUAUUUUCGGUACUCAUGCUGACAACUUCUUCAGCCAAAUGCUUGAGCUUCCAUAUUCUGGCGCGGCGACGGGCAGAUUUAUCGUAUCCGUAGAAUUUCUUUACUAUGAUAACAUCUGGGAUGAUAUCUCGAUUCAGUUUCUCAAAAUGCAUGUCAUUUAUGUUGCUGUCGCCUACAGCAUACCUGAAAUAACA
rnacentral:misc_RNA from 1 species